GUAGUGAGGUUAGAGACGGCUUGUUUGACGUUUGGUUUUUGAGCUUCUAUGAGAGCGUUCAUGGCGGAAAUUGGAGCGGUGUUUGGAGGAAGAGAACAUUCUGGAAGGUCGAUGACGUUGAUUGAAUCGGUGAUUGGCAGGGAUUUGGUGUAAUCGGUUUCUGAGGCAUGUGGGAGUUUCAUAAGAAGGAUUGUUAUUCGGAGACGGGUGUCACGGUUGAUUAGAAGAUUCGCGAACUCGAGAGUGGAAACUAUAUGACUCGUAACGGGAAAAGGGAUAAACACCACUUCUGCUUUCUUCAUCUUGGAGCAGAGGAUACACAAUUAUUCAAUGUAAGUUACUGUGUUUUGAAUUGUUCUUUGAUUCUACUGUUUUUUUUAUAUAGGAAUUGAGAUAGAAAACCCCAAUUUCAGUAGGAUGAAUUAGAAUCAUGUGUUUGGUAUAUCUCUGUGUCUGCACACCAUUAUUGAAAUAUAUACGAGAUUAAAAUUGACUAAGACAUGUUUGAUUGCUCUUGAAUAGAAUUGAUCACCCGGAUGAAAUUAAGGCAAUAAUACUACACUGACUUAAGCAAAAAAGUGUAUUCUAGAAUAUCUGAUUUAGCCCAUUCAUUUAAAUUUCAAAUUGGACUAAGUUUGAGAUUGGAAUGAGAGUGAUGUCAUUGCUUUGCUGGUUGGUAUGGAAAAUGUGGAAUGAGUUAAGGUGAGAUUGAAAUGUUUGUCUUUAUAUUUAUGGAAAAAUGAAUGGAUGGUUGGGGCUAUUGGUUAGACUAGUUUUCUUUGCUUUUGGUAUUAGUAAUUUACUAUGGUCCUACAUGUGGACUUUUGAGAAUUAUGUGGUAAACAAGGGUUUAGUCUGAAUAGUUAUUAUAUUCUUGGAAUUAUUCAUUAUUCAAUGAAUCAUAUUUGGCCCUUUUUUUUUAAAAUGAUUUUUUAUGGUGUAAUAUAUUUUAAUGUAAAAAUUUUAUAAAUAAAUUUUUUAUAAAAGUUUCAAAUGAAAUUUGGUUUGAAUAGUUAUUUUUAAAAUAUUAUUUUAGGUAUUUUAUGAUUUUAUCGAAAAAAAAUUGAUAUCAAAAUUUUAAAAAAUUAUUUAAUUUUGAAACUAUUUCAAAUAGUUUUUCAUAAAAAUCAUUUUUGAAAUAGAACUUUUUGAGAAAAGUGUGAUUUUGACUAUACUUUGAUUUUCAUCUGGGUUUAUGUCAUAGUAUAUCAAAAUUAGUUUUUUAAUUUAUAAAAAACAAAUUUAGAAAAAAUUGUAAUAUUUUUAAAUAUAUUUUGUAAAAUCCAUUUUCAAAAAUUUUAAAAAAUAUAUUUUUUUAAAGCUAAAACAAACUGGCUUGGUUCGUGGGAAUGCUUAUUGCAUACAAUAGGACAAUAUAGUGAAGACUACCACAUUCAAAAAAAAAAAUUAUAUUCUGGAUUGUUUUGGAGCUUUUGUAGACCUGAUUUUGUUACAAUAAUAUCCUCUGGACUGGAAUUUUAUGGUUCAAGCUUCUUAUAAUAUCAGUGUUAUCAAAUAUCUGCCAUGGCGACACUAUGGCUGAUAUACGCGGCAGCUUUUAGGCUCCACAAUAGUAAAUAUUGGCCGAUAUUGCAUGUUUUUCUGCUGUAAUCGGCACUGUAAAGGGACUGGUAUGGCGGGAUUUUGGCCCUCCACCAUCUUUUACUCAAACAUAUAAUAUAUGUUUGAGGUUUUUUAGGUCAUAGAAAGAGAGGAUUUACUUUAGUAAAGGGACUGGUAUGGCGGGAUUUUGGCCCUCCACCAUCUUUUACUCAAACAUAUAAUAUAUGUUUGAGGUUUUUUAGGUCAUAGAAAGAGAGGAUUUACUUUUCAACUGCAAAUCAUAUCAAAUAUUCAAUCCCUUGAAAAUUGGAAGGUUGUGUCAGGAAUCUGCAACUAACAGAUUAAUUGAACAUAUAUCACAACAAGAACCUAUUUUAUAAAGCAUAUGAAAAUGAAAGUAUUGCAAUAAGGGUGAAAAUUGCAUCAAAGUGCUUCCGUGAGUAUUGUAUUUGAGUUUCUAUUACAGUACUGGAGGUUGAGAGGAAUGUGUGUAGGGACAUAGGAAUAGGAAUAGUUUUAUGGCUUGUUGCAGUGGUUGUAGAUGUGAAAGUUGUGCAUAUAUAUAUUGUUAGGUUUGUUGCAUAAUUCUAGUUGCUUUGGUUGCUACCCUUUAAUUUUGAUCAUGUUUAUUGGAUACGCUAAAGACUUUGGCCAGGAGUUUAGACAUUGUUAAAAUACUAAAUGUGGAUAUCUUUGAUAUUUUUGUAUGUCGGUACAAUGAUAAUUGGAUUUCAUAUAUGAUUUAUAAUAUAAUCAAUCAAACGACCUAAAUGAGUGUAAGAAGAUCCACCCUCUAACAUCGUCUUCCUACUUUUCUGACUCAUCUCUUUCACUUUCUUCUUGAACUCUCCAUUUAUAUCCAACACAUUUCUUAUUCCUCUUUCAAUCUUGUCCGCAGUUAAAAGAUAGUUAGGUUCACCCAUAAACUCCACUUUAUAAUCUAAUGUAAUCUCAACAGCCAUCUUCAACUCAUACACCAAUUGAAAAGCAUUAGUUUGUUGUUCAGCAAAAAGUGGCCAUGUGGCAAUGGGUACACCAAAAUAUAUACUCUCCAGUAUAGAAUUCCAACCACAGUGAGAAACAAAUCCUCCCGUAGCUGGGUGGGAUAAUAUUUGAGUCUGUGGAGCCCACCCUAUUAUCCUUCCAAUCUCCUUCGUUCGAUCUAAAAAUCCUUCGGGUAAAAGCUUAACCAGAUCCGAAAUAGAAUAGUCAGAGGGCAUUGCCAUGACACCCUUCGGUUGAGGUUUCCGCAGAGACCACACAAAGCGGACCCCACUAUUCUCAAUAGCAUGUGCGAUCUCGUUAACCUGAUCCUCAUCAAAAGAACCCCUGGUCCCAAAGCAAAUGAAAACUACCGAGGAAGGAGGUUGAUCGUCAAGCCACUUGAUGAUAUCAUCUGAAUCAACGGUACCCUUGGUUUUGGGCUCUGGGUUUAAAAUGGGCCCCACCGGGUAUAUAGUUUGUAAAGCAGCUAGAUCAGGAUGAGAUAAAAACGAGUGAACCGCAUAGGAUUCUAGCUCUUCAAAUGAAUUUACAAUAAUACCAUCAGCGUUCUUGAGACCUCUUACAUAGUUCAUGAACAUCGAUUCCCAUUCCUUGUUUACCACAAUAUCUGGAAACGAGUAUAACGGAACCGAGUUUUCGAAACUCGGGAUAUCCAACUCAGUGAGUUGCUGCAACCGAGUCACAUCGACGUUGUCUCGUUCACGGAGAGUGUGAAGAUGAAGAUUCAAACCAAGUGAAGCAACGCCGGAAGUGAAGAAAACAAGCGUAGGAACGGAAAAUUCUUUGGCAAUAUCAAUCAUAGUGGUGCAGAACAUGUCAACAACGAAGGCGGCGAGGACUCCGUUUUCUCCUCUUUCAAUAGCGAGGUUAGAGACGGCUUGUUUGACGUUUGGUUUCUGAGCUUCUAAGUGAGCAACUAUGGCGGAACUUGGAGGAGUGUUUGGAGGAAGAGAACAUUCUGGAAGGUUGAUGACGUUGAUUGAAUCGGUGAUUGGAAGAGAUUUAAUGUAAUCUGUUUCUGAGGCGUGUGGGAGUUUCAUAACUAAGACGGUUAUUCGGAGACGGUUGUCCCGGUUGAUUAGAAGCUUCACGAACUCGAGAGUGGAAACUAUAUGGCUUGUAACUGGCAAAGGGAUAAACAC
rnacentral:lncRNA from 1 species